rnacentral:other from 1 species
AUAGAUAUGAUGAAAUUGCCCAAGGACAUUCACUAUUUUUCCUACGAUUUGAGAUACGGGAAACCGGACGUUGUUAUUGUGUGUUGAAGACCUGCUUCGAGCAGGGAUCCUAAUCACUAACACAGGUUACCCACCUGUAUAUACAGGGAAAGAUCUCGUGUUCUUGGGGUUUAUCGAAUAUUGG